rnacentral:rRNA from 1 species
AGGGAGACUGCCAGGGAUAACCUGGAGGAAGGUGGGGAUGACGUCAAAUCAUCAUGCCCCUUAUGACUUGGGCUACACACGUGCUACAAUGGCGUAAACAAAGGGAAGCAAUCCCGCGAGGGGGAGCAAAUCUCAAAAAUAACGUCUCAGUUCGGACUGUAGUCUGCAACUCGACUACACGAAGCUGGAAUCGCUAGUAAUCGCGAAUCAGAAUGUCGCGGUGAAUACGUUCCCGGGUCUUGUACACACCGCCCGUCACACCAUGGGGGUUGGUAAUGCCCGAAGUCAGUGACCCAACCGCAAGGAGGGAGCUGCCGAAGGCAGGACUGAUAACUGGGGUGAAGUCGUAACAAGGUACCCG